AAGUUGUGUCUUUUACCCUAGCUCCUGGGAAAUAACCACUAAAGUCUUGAAAUGUCUUGAGUGAUUGGAGGACCUUUAUUUUUCACGCCUGAUGCCUUAUGCUGAUGAGAUGACUCAGCAGGGGAUGGCCAGGCCAGAAAGACCAAAACUGUAUCCUGAGGUUUGAGUUUCUGAGCCAGGUGAUGUCAUCCUCCAGCUUGGCCGGCCUCUUUCUGGGAGCCUCUGGUGUGAAAGAGAGCAGAUUUAUUAAAAAUCAUCAACUUCAAAUUAUUUGGAUGGAAACAUUGCCAAAUCAUAGAGAUGUUUGCUACCACCCGCACACCAAGCAGCUGGGUAACUAGAAGUGCAGGAUCAGCUUAUUCACCUCCGAAAGCCUGCAUGCAACCACUGAGGCCGCCUCUAUUUUUUACAUAGUUCUACUUGGUGUAUGUAACCCCACAGAGAAACCUGGAAGAAUGCAUGAAACCUAGUAAGGCAACCAGCACAUGCAACAGAAUGAACCGUUUCUUUCCAUCUGAAUGCCUAAAUGUGGACUCUGAUCCUUUCUACCAAGUCCUAAGUUUGGGAAAAGAGGACAAGGACAGGGGCUCUGUCCCAUAUCAUAAUGUGCUUGUGAAUGGCUAAAAUUACAAUGCUGAGAUAAGUGUGUGUAAUAAAAUAAUUGCACCCCGA
rnacentral:lncRNA from 1 species